GCCGCGCCGCCCGGGGCCCGCAGGGGCGCCGCUUACCCGGGAGGCCCGGAGUGGCCGCUCCGAGUUUGCACCGCUGGCGGGAUGAAGCCCACCGACGCGAGCGAACGUCGCGGUCCCCGGCGCUCCGGACAGGUUGUCUAGGAGACCGUGGAAAAGUCUCGUCAUACACACACUGCCCAGCCCCGGCCGGGGACGCCUCCGGACCGGGGACCGUGCCCUGUGUCCGUUCUCAGCCUUACACGUGAGCCAACCACAGUCCUCCGAGGUUUGUUAAGGCCCGGGUGGCUCUUGCCUCCCCUCACCCCUCCCCCCUCCUCCUCCCCUUUUCUGAUUCUUUAAAUCUAGUAAGGGCCCCAGAAUUUGCGUUUCUUACAAGUUCCCGGGUGAUGCUGAGGCCGUUGCGAACGUCAGAUCGGUUCAGGCUUGUGAAGUGCCUGGUCAUCUGCAAGGCAGUAGGUACACUUAUGCUUGUUAAACCCACUUGUGCUAUUUAUCUGUUGCAGUAGCGAGUGUUCACGCUUCAUGGCUUUCCAACCCCGGCUGCUUUUCUCGAUUUUCCUCUUGACUAUGCACCAAGCUUUUGUGUAUACCGGCCCCCAUCAGAAAAGCAACAGGGACAAAACUGAGAAGCAUAAGGCAUUCCAGGAAGAAGGAGCGAGAAAUGUGUGUAAUGGCUGAUGGUCAGAAAGAACAGAGCAGCUCAGAGAACACUUGAGAGUUGAAGGUGGACAGUAUUGACCAACUUCCCAGGUGGGAAGGUGGGAUGUGAGCUGGAGAGAUGGAUUGGGGCCUGUGUGUGAAAGGCCUUACAAAGUGGUCAAGACUUUGGAUUCAUCACAAAGCAGUGAGAAGCCAAGCCAACAGGUUUAUUUAAAGCAGAAGAGUAAUACAAAAGUUUUAAGGAGUUGUUUUGGAAGAAGUGGCAGCAGUUAAUUCAAGAGACACGAGUUCAUUGGGACAUGAAUCAGACAUCGUCAUCUUUGCAACCCAAACUGGUGCCAUCCCAAAGCUCAGGAACAGUGAUACUGACAACCUGCCCACUGCCCAACAGCAGCCCAGGGGCCUCCGCCUCCUACACAACUUCUUCUAUAUACUUCCAUGCCAGAGAAAUAAAAGUGGGGAGCAGAAACAGAGCCUCAGAGGCAAGAUCCAGCUGGUGUGUUUCCCAGGAGACAUAAUCCCGAAAUUCUUCAAGUCCAGUUUUUGACUCCUGGAAGGCUCUUGUAAGUUAAGAACAGGACUCACCUAAACUAGUUGCACUAAGAAAGUUUGUCAUCUGUACCACAAGCCCAGGUAGAAACUAAACAUGACAAAGUGACAGAGGCUUUCCAAUGAGUUCAUCCCCUACAAAAAUCCCUGCAUUACUCACUUCAAAGGAUUUUACCUAUCACCACUUUUCAGAGUUUCUUGGAAAAACUAUUCUGGCAUCCUUUCCUCCAGGACUUGCUUAUGAGAGCACUGCUUUGCCUCUUUUUCUACCAGAUCUGGAACUUAUGUCUCCCAAGGCUUGGCUGAGUUAAAAUGCCAAUCCUUUGUUAAACAUAAAAACAAUAUGGCUUUACUUUUGAAGUAAUUCCCCUUAAAAUACUUACUGAUUACCAAAGGGAAAAAGCCUGGCAGACAUUGUCUGCAUCGCGUGAUCAAAGUGCCCAUCCCCAGCAAUAGGACAAACUGAAAUAUCAUGGAUUUCACGUGGGAUGCUGUGACGAGAACACAGUAUCACUCGUGUGAUAUUCUUGCCAAAUACACAUAACCUGAAUUUAAUUAUGAGAGCACAUCAGACAAACCCAGACUGAGGAGCAUCUUAUAAAAUACCUGGCCUGUCAUCUUCAAAGGUGUCAGGCCAUGAAAGUUGAGAAGAGACUGAAGAACAUUCCAGAGUAAGGAAGACUAAGGAGACAUGGUGACAAAAAGCAAUGUGUGACUCUGAACAGACUCCCUUUGCUAUCAAAAACAUUAGAAAAAUAUGGUAAAAUUUUAAUGGAGCCUGAGGAUUAAGUGGUAGUAAUGGAUCACUUGAUUUGCUGCUUCGAAUGGAAGAGAAUAUUCUCGUCCUUAUUCAGUGGGAAUAGGGCAUCGGAUUAAGAACUCACUCUCAAAUAAUCUAGGGGGAAGAAGUUACUUAUACUGUACUUACACCUUUUCUGGAAGUUUGUGAUUGUUUCAAAAUUUAAAAAAAUAUUUUAAAAAGUAUGUCAUAUAUUACAGAGUCAGAAGAGAAUGUUUAUAGGGUUUUUAAAAUUUGUUUAUUGUUUUGGGAUUUUGUUGGCCCCACUAGCCUGGAAAAAGGUCUUCUUUGCUAAAAUAUCUUUCUCAGAGCUGGCAUGAUACAGCUCUAAGCUUAAAACACUGACUUCAAAGAUGGGUUCAGCAUUGAAAUUAAGCAGACAACUGUGAAAAGAAUUCACAACUGUUGGAAGUACUGGCCCUGGCUAAAAAGUAAAAUAAAAUAACCUAAUGUAGCUUUUAUGUGUUAUUU
rnacentral:lncRNA from 1 species